CCACGAGAAUGCACAUCCUGUCUGUCAUUGGUCUCAGUAUUUGUCUUGUGUUUAUUGGUAUUAAUAUGCAAGUGCAGUAAAUAUCUAUCUGGAAUGUUUGAAUGAUAAUUGCAAUUUUGGUACAGCAAAGACCCUUAUUGAUGGAACCAGAAAGGCCGUAUCCCAGUACGAUUGUGGAGCCGGAAGUAUUCUUGUCAACCUGACUGUCAUUGGUUUAGGACUUACAUUUUAUAUGCUUGUUUAGAUGCCGCAUUUUAGUACAUCCAUAUGAACAAGUCUGAAGAUACAUGUACUUAUUUCCAAAAACUGUAUAGGAUUUAAGUUUUUCGCCUUAAUCUAAUUCACUUUAACACAUUUGCACUGCUUGUAAGGAUUGAACAAAUGUGCAAAAUCUUAUUUGGACACUUGCAUACUUUUUUGGUUUAAUUUGUAAUUAAUAAAUUUAUUUUACAAUUA